GUGUAUAUAUAACACCAUAUAUAUAUAUAUAUAUAUAUAUAUAUAUAUAGUACAAGGUGUAAGUACCCAGAGGAUAUCAACUGCAUGCAAAUACAGUCCACAUUCUGCCUAGUUACUCUCUAGGUACAAAACCAUUCUCCUAGGCAGCCAAUUCAGCUCUCAGCAAAGGCGUCUGAUGAUGACAAAAGAUACAGAAUAAUAUUUACUAGUACCAAUUAUUACCAUCGAUUGAUCACCAGUGUUGGACCAAGCCCUCCUGCAGCUGAUUUAUGUAUAUUCACCAAUUUCCUUCUGAAUGCAACUGGUAUCUCUAGUUUGCACAUGAGAAAACUAGGGCUCCCUGAGAACUAUUUUCAUUUGCCCAGCAUAAAUCUCAGCUAGCUAUGGUGCAAUCAAGAUUUAAACAAGUUCAGUCUGGUGUCAAAGUUCUUAACCAUGUCUUUUCCUAAAGCUGAGGUGCAGUGGGGAGCAAACAAUGGAAAUGGCAGGGUCGUACUCCAAAUUCAGAGACUAGGACUUUGAACAGGAAAAACAACAGUCACUAACGGGCUUGACAGUUCAAAUAUCAGAGCUGAGAAAUGUCUGAAUAUUAAAACUUUAAUGUGAAAUAUCAACCUCGGAUAAAAGGGCUGAAAACUUCCAACACAAAUAUUUUUGCAUCAUGGAAAGACAGUAUUAUUAACCAGCGUUACAGACUCCUCCCCUCCACAUGAAAUAGGUGACAACAGGGAAAUUAAAAUACCUGGGACAUCUUUACAGGAGGCUGCCCUCUUGCCAGAGGUUGGGUUAAAUCCCUUUUCUAUAGACUUCCAUGAAAAUCUAAUGAAAAAUUAAAAGCAGAAAAACUGACAUCUUUCUUCAUUUCCUUUCAGUGCAUGGUAUGAUCCAACUUGAGUACAAACUUCAUAAACCCAGAGGACUUAUUUUUUAAAGUUAAUUCAGUCCUGAAGGGGAUUAAGAAUGGCAUUUUUUGUUAACAGGUGGGAAACAAAGUCAGAAGCAACAGCUGAUUCACUCUCUUCUCCUUAGAUCAGACUUUCCAGUAAUGAGAGUCCUUUAAAGAGUGCAUUCAUAUCUUUCCUGUCCGUAGAGCGUAAACUCUAUCAAAAAUACAAAUAAAAGUUUCUCUAAGAUAUAAGAACCAGGCGUGCGAGCACCUUGUUCGUUGCCAAAAAAGGAAUUAAUUUGUCACAGCGAGGAUUUUUUUUUUUGUACCCCCUCCAAUGUUUCAGUUUCUGUUUCACAAACAUGCCCAUUUGUAUAGAAACAAAGGAAAAGACAGUGGUUAGGUAUUUAAGGGAGAAAAUGCUGGUCUUAACAGUAGUUAACAAGGAAAUUCACUGAAUUCUUAGGGUAUGUUACAAGCAUACCUAAAGAAAAAACAAACUUUUUUUAACUUUCUGCAAGGCCUGUACAUUUCAUAUCAGGGAAUAGGGAGUAAAAGACGAAAGAGAAAAACACUGCUUACAAAAAAUCUCUACCUGCCCUCAGAAAAUGGGGCAUAUUUAGCCAGAUGUCAGGUCCCCGGGGAGCAGAGAUACAGGAAGAAGACUGCUUUCAAAGCCUGUGGCCAUCGGGACGCCUGACCUCAGAACAGGUGUCUAAGAGACUGGCCCUGGUUCUGUUUCCUUGGUUUGACACCGUGGUGGUGGGUGGAUUAAGAACAAUCUCCAAUCCACAAUUUGAUGAGAAGGUUUUGCUCUACGCAGUUCUAAGAAGACUGCCAAGUCCUCCAGGAGAAGUUUUGCAGGCAUCGUGCCAAGCAACUUGGCUUGCAAAUCGGGUCUGUGAGAGUGCAGGCAUUGGGACCGAAAUUGCAUAAAGGAUUAUUUUGGUCUGAGGAUGUCCUUAAUUAGUCAAGUGCUAACAGUAGUAUGUAGGUUGCAAGAUUUAAAAUUUCCCAUAAUCUCCCACACCAAUCAGGAGAAAACAGCUUUUUGAAAAGCACAUGUGAAAAAUUAGGAGUGUCGAUGUCUAAGAACAUUUCUAACAAUAUCUGGGCUGGCAAUACUUCUUUCUAUGGAAUGUUCCAAGCCAUUUAAUAAGGCUUUAUGUCUGUACAGCACUUCACAAACUACCAGGCUCUCUGAGGUACUUUUCAAACUCGUAACGAGUCCAUCAGGGAGGAAAAGGCAGGUGAAGUUUACCCCCAUUUUACAGAUAAGAAAACUAAAGCUCAGCGGGUCAAGGAAAAGAUGCAGCCAUAAUAAUUUCCCAUUUCAGACAUGAAUUUGACCAUUCGAUAAGUGCCAGAGAAUUCCCCGUUUGCAAAGUCCCGUGCAGGGCAGUGAAUUAGUAAAUCGAUGAAAAGAAAACUAAUCCCCACAAAGACAGUAGGAAGCUGGCAGGUGGACACAGAAAAGCAUUAAAAUACAAAGAUGAAAGUGUCGGCAUUCUUUAGCAAACAACGUUAUUUGUCUUCUUCUAUUGAGUUUUACAAUUUGAGCAUCACAUUUGAAAGCAGGUCAACGUACAGGAGAGGCGUGUGUGUUCUCUAAUGCCAAACCCUCUUUUCUUAGAGGGAAGCUGUCACAGACCCUCAGUCUGUAUCACCUCCACUUCCCUCUGGGACUCCCUGUGCCCAACGAGCUGCUUUACUCCACAGCGAAUCGAGAACAAGAAAUGAUCCACAAUCAUCCCAAGUGCAUGGACAUGAAAGCAUGUACCUAGAAGACACGACCACCCCGUAGCCACCAACAAGCCCCUCCAGACGCAAAGACAAAUCCUCCUCUGGCUUCCUCUGAAUGAGCUGCGUCUGUUUAAGUCACAUAGGAUCCAUUCACCACAACCCUAAGAAGGCUGAUGCUGCAAUCCUAUGGAUGUCAGAAAGCUUAAGCAGCCAGAAUGGCCACUUCUUGUCUUGCCUGGAAACAUGACAGAGCUACUGAUUUCAAAAGAUCGAUUUUUGUGCUGAAGGAACAUGCAGAAAGGGGAAAAUGAUGCCAGAGAUGACGUGGUUCUCCUCCUAUCCGAAAGGAAAGAUCCUCUUUCUCAUUGUUCAUCAUGUGCCAUGAAAGAAGGAAAAUGGAAUGCGUUUGAAGAGCUAAGAGAAGCUCCUGGAAAGGAAGAGAGGGAAAUGAAAAGAGGAAGGGGGUUGGGGAGGGAGGGACAGAGAAGGGGAAGGAGGAGAAGUGAGAAGGAAGGAGGGACAGACUGAGGGAUGAGAAGGAGGGAAGGAGGAAGACAGUAACUCUAAGAAUGGAGAGACGAUGUGAAUUUUUGUAAUUUGGAAUCACCGAACAUCAUCGGUUAGACUCCGUGCAGGGUUUGCAGAAUGGACAAGAAUAAAGGCGGGAGUGUGUCUAAGCUCUA